rnacentral:rRNA from 1 species
GCACUGGGGGUUGUAGGACUGCAAUGUGCAAGAGGUGAGUUUAGCAGAACAUUCUGGAAAGUAUAGCCAUAGAGGGUGAUAGUCCCGUAUGCGAAAAACAAACCUUAGCUAGCAGUAUCCUGAGUAGGGCGGGACACGAGAAAUCCUGUCUGAAGCUGGGUCGACCACGAUCCAACCCUAAAUACUAAUACCAGAUCGAUAGUGCACAAGUACCGUGAGGGAAAGGUGAAAAGAACUGAGGUGAUCAGAGUGAAAUAGAACCUGAAACCAUUUGCUUACAAUCAUUCAGAGCCCUAUGUAGCAAUACAGGGUGAUGGACUGCCUUUUGCAUAAUGAGCCUGCGAGUUGUGGUGUCUGGCAAGGUUAAGCAAACGCGAAGCCGUAGCGAAAGCGAGUCUGAAUAGGGCGCUUAGUCAGAUGCUGCAGACCCGAAACGAAGUGAUCUAUCCAUGAGCAAGUUGAAGCUAGUGUAAGAACUAGUGGAGGACUGAACCCAUAGGCGUUGAAAAGCCCCGGGAUGACUUGUGGAUAGGGGUGAAAGGCCAAUCAAACUUCGUGAUAGCUGGUUCUCUCCGAAAUAUAUUUAGGUAUAGCGUUGUGUCGUAAUAUAAGGGGGUAGAGCACUGAAUGGGCUAGGGCAUACACCAAUGUACCAAACCCUAUCAAACUCCGAAUACCUUAUAUGUAAUCACAGCAGUCAGGCGGCGAGUGAUAAAAUCCGUCGUCAAGAGGGAAACAACCCAGACUACCAGCUAAGGUCCCUAAAUCUUACUUAAGUGGAAAACGAUGUGAAGUUACUUAAACAACCAGGAGGUUGGCUUAGAAGCAGCCAUCCUUUAAAGAAAGCGUAAUAGCUCACUGGUCUAGUGAUUUUGCGCGGAAAAUAUAACGGGGCUAAAGUAAGUACCGAAGCUGUAGACUUAGUUUACUAAGUGGUAGGAGAGCGUUCUAUUUGCGUCGAAGGUAUACCGGUAAGGAGUGCUGGAGCGAAUAGAAGUGAGCAUGCAGGCAUGAGUAGCGAUAAUUAAUGUGAGAAUCAUUAACGCCGUAAACCCAAGGUUUCCUACGCGAUGCUCGUCAUCGUAGGGUUAGUCGGGUCCUAAGUCGAGUCCGAAAGGGGUAGACGAUGGCAAAUUGGUUAAUAUUCCAAUACCAACAUUAGUGUGCGAUGGAAGGACGCUUAGGGCUAAGGGGGCUAGCGGAUGGAAGUGCUAGUCUAAGGUCGUAGGAGGUUAUACAGGCAAAUCCGUAUAACAAUACUCCGAGAACUGAAAGGCUUUUUGAAGUCUUCGGAUG